CUGAAAUUCGCCUUCAUGAAGCUGGAAUUGCUAGUAAUGGCAGGUCAGCAUACUGCCGUGAAUACGUUCCCGGGCCUUGUACACACCGCCCGUCACACCAUGAGAGUUGGAAAUACCCGAAGCCUGUGAGCUAACUUUUAGAGGCAGGCAGUCGAAGGUAGAGCCAAUGAUUGGGGUGAAGUCGUAACAAGGUAAC
rnacentral:rRNA from 1 species